rnacentral:misc_RNA from 1 species
UUUCCGUAGGUGAACCUGCGGAAGGAUCAUUAAAUAGUUUAGAUGGCCUCCUAGAACUUGUUCUAGUUAGGUUCAUUCUUUUUUACUGUGAACUGUUUUAAUUUUCAGCGUUUGAGGAAUGUCUUUUAGUCAUAGGGAUAGACUAUUAGAAUGUUAACCGAGCUGAAGUCAGGUUUAGACCUGGUAUCCUAUUAAUUAUUUACCAAAAGAAUUCAGUAUUAUUAUUGUAACAUAAGCGUAAAAAACUUAUAAAACAACUUUUAACAACGGAUCUCUUGGUUCUC